CCAAUCACUAGAGGAUCAAUAUAUAGUUGCAUUUACAUUAUUAGAUUAUAUAAUCAAUGACCAUGAUGCUACUAAGUCUGAGGCAGAAGGACCAGAUCCAUAAAAUGCAUUUACAUUAUUAGAUUAUAUAAUCAUGCACUUUCUGUUCUAGAGAAAAAGGAUUAUGCUUGAGAAAUUUCUGAUCAAUCCAUGUUCAUGUGCUUUUCCAUUUUGGUGCAGUGUUGUUUCCGAAGUAAGUUAUGUACAAAGUUUGAGAAAAAUUGCAAGAUCUGCUGGAGUAACGUGAUAAUAGAGCACAGCCAAGCCAUUUUGAACUCUUUGUACUCAUUUUUACUGGGACUUGACUAGAGAUUGGGAGUUGAGUUGGAUGGAUAUGCGGCUAGGAGCAUGAAGAUUAAUUAUGUAGUCAGCUCCUACCUUGAUCCCCUUACCGUUAAGGUAUACUGAUCGGACACAUGUUCAAGGACAGUCACCAUAUGCUUCUGGUUCUCCAUCAAAAGCCGUCUACAUUUUUGAUAUUAAUUAGUUAUAGAUAUUAUUUCUAGUUGAAGACUUACGAAGCAUAUUAUGAAAGUGCUUCAUUUGUUCAUGUUAGUUGGAUUUGAAAAAAGAGUUGAUGUUAGGGCUUUGUUUAUUACUAUAUUAUCCAUAAUAAAUUCAAAUUUUUUGUAAAAGAAAAAUUCUAUUUAUAUAAUUGGCGACAACCCUUA